GUGAAAAACUAGAAACUCAAAGGACUUGGCGGUGCCCCAAAUCGGCCUAGAGGAGCCUGUCCUAUAAUCGAUACCCCACGCUAAACCUCACCAUUUUUUGCAACUCAGCCUAUAUACCGCCGUCGUCAGCCUACCUUAUGAAAGAAACAAAAUAGGCAAAACAGUUAACAACUAAAACGUCAGGUCAAGGUGUAGCAUAUAAAAUGGAAGAGAUGGGCUACAUUUUUUAUAAUAAAAAACACGAAAAGAACAGUGAAACCUGCUCUAGAAGGCGGAUUUAGCAGUAAGACAAACAAGAAGACUUGUCUUAAACCCGCUCUGAGGCGCGC
rnacentral:rRNA from 1 species